GAUGUGCCUUUUGUUUGGGGUACCGCACAGGAAGAAGCCUUCACGGUAUUGAAAGAUAAGUUGACACAUGCUCCUUUACUCCAACUUCCUGAUUUUAAUAAGACUUUUGAGCUUGAAUGUGAUGCUAGUGGAAUUGGAUUAGGAGGUGUGUUAUUACAAGAUGGCAAACCUGUUGCAUACUUUUCUGAAAAAUUGAGUGGGCCUAGUCUGAAUUAUUCUACUUAUGAUAAAGAACUAUAUGCUCUUGUUCGGACUUUAGAAAUAUGGCAACAUUAUUUAUGGCCCAACGAAUUUGUUAUCCAUUCUGAUCAUGAAUCUUUGAAACAUAUUAAAAGUCAAGCUAAACUGAAUCGUAGACAUGCUAAAUGGGUUGAAUUCAUUGAAACUUUCCCUUAUGUCAUUAAACACAAGAAGGGUAAAGAAAAUGUUAUUGCUGAUGCAUUGUCUCAUCGCUAUACUAUGCUUUCACAACUUGACUUCAAAAUAUUUGGUUUGGAGACCAUCAAAGAUCAAUAUGUGCAUGAUGCUGAUUUUAAAGAUGUAUUGCAGAAUUGUAAAGAAGGAAGAACCUGGAACAAGUUUGUCGUUAAUGAUGGAUUUGUGUUCCGUGCUAACAAGCUAUGCAUUCCAGCUAGCUCUCUUCGUCUUUUGUUGUUGCAGGAGGCGCAUGGAGGAGGAUUAAUGGGACACUUUGGCGUGAAGAAGAUGGAGGACGUACUUGCUACACAUUUCUUUUGGCCAAAGAUGAGACGGGAUGUUGAGCGUUUUGUUGCUCGCUGCACUACAUGUCAAAAAGCUAAGUCACGACUCAAUCCUCAUGGUUUAUAUAUGCCUUUGCCUGUACCUAGUGUUCCUUGGGAGGAUAUAUCUAUGGACUUUGUUUUAGGUUUACCUCGAACAAAGAAGGGGAGGGAUAGCAUAUUUGUUGUCGUGGAUAGAUUCUCGAAAAUGGCACACUUUAUACCAUGUCAUAAA
rnacentral:rRNA from 1 species